CAACUGUUUAAACCAGGUUCCCCUGGAGCUUUCUCUGCACAAGUAGUGCUCACUUCCACAGUUCUGGCUGUGUUAGGUUCAGGCCAGAGGAUACUAGAGGGACAAAAAAGGAAAACUACUUUGCCUCUGGUGAGCUUUACAACAGGAUAGAGACUGGACAGAUCACAUUUCUCUUCAAAUGUACUCCACAUGAAGAAGUUUGGGGCCAUUACAAACUUCAUGUUCAACUGAACGAUCUUAAACAUAACAGUGUGGUUUAGGCUGUUCUUUUGUCAGCUUGAACUACUAGCAGGAGAGCACUAUUCUAAAUUCGACACUAAGAAACAGGAAACCAUCUCGGCCCAAGCUCUUCUAUUUUCCUCCACUUUUAAAAGACAUGAAUUUAAACUGGUAUGGUUCUUAUUGAAAUGGACACCCCCUUUUGGCACAGAAAUGUUAAAGGAAAACAUCUUUGAGAAGCUAACUAACAGAAGGCCCUGAGGAUGAAGGAUGUCUAGAAUCGCUGCUGUGUGAUAGGACAGGGAGUUGCACCCUCCUAUGGGAAUGCUCCGAAGAUGACCCUUGAAGAGACAGAGUGAAGAAAAGCCUUCUAAAACAUGUACUUGCCUUUCUUUCACAUUGUCUUUGGACAAUCAUCACCUUCCCAUUCACCAGAAAUCUUCUGCAGCAGCUCAGAUUGCUAAAGUGGUGUCUCUGAGAUAACACUGGGCAGCACAAAGAGCCUGCCUGAGUGAUGAAUUAUUAAAAACAGGUGAAGGCUGACCAGCUGCUCUCAGGCAUCCACUAUCCCCCCGCUUCUCCAACAACAUCCAUUCGCUGAUGAAUAUCAGCCUAGGGAGACUGCCUCCUCCCAUUGCUGUGCAACCAUAAAAAAUGAGACAUGAAUCACCCACAAGAUGAAACUCCUGUGGGAGAAUUGUUAAUAGCCUGGAAUCCACAGAGGUUCUGGGAUGCCUGAGACUCUCUGCCCAAGGAUUUAACCCCUCCUCUGUUUUUAAAAUUCACCAAAAUUCACAUAGACUGGAUCCUCACCUUUGGCCAUUACCCAAAACACAUUUCCAGGAAUUCAGGGCCGUGUUUUCUAUUCAGAGAUCCUGCUGAAACAGAGUAGCUGACACACCAGGAGAGCCUGAACUCAGCAAGAUAACUAGAUGGCAAACAAAAUAGAAAGAUUAAGAAUUAAAAAUAGUAUGAUAAUUAUAAUUAAGAAUUAAAAAUAGUAUGAUAAUUAUAAUUAAGAAUUAAAAAUAGUAUGAUAUAGUUAUAGAAGUAUUAGAAGAUAUUAGCCAUAUAAAAGAGUAACAUUAAGCCACAAAAGAAGUUCCAAAUGGAAAGAUGAUGCAUAAGAAUUUAGGAGUUCUUCUCAGGAUUAAGGAAAUCCUGAGAUUUCUUUAAUUUAAAUUAGAUUUAGAAGGGCCACUGAGUGACAAAUAGUACUGAUAAUGAAAAAUCUACACCAAGACAAAUAAGUAAAUUUAAGAAAAUCAAAGUAUAAAAGAAAAUUCUGAACACUGAUAAAAAGAAAGCAAAGAAAGGAACAAAUACUCCAAGUGAAAUCAAUUUUAGAGGAUGUAAUCAAAUUAGAAAAGAACAAAUCUAGAAAAUGAUGGAAGAGAUAUGAUAAUUAAAAUUAUCAAAUAUUGUGAUAACAGUUAAUGCUGGCAAAAACUGAGGGUGUGGGUGAGGGUGGGUGUGUGUGUGUGUGUGUGUGUGUGUGUGAGAAAGAGAGAAAAAGAAUGGAAAAAAUCUAGAGCAAAUGGAAAAGUAUAUAGAGAGUAACCUGGAAAUAAAAUUCAACAUUAUUCAAUUUGAUGAGUUAGCAAACCUAAGGAAUGAGUGAUAGUUUGUCUAGGAAAAUAUUCUUUUGGGAAAGUUGGUUGUUACUCUUGUUGUUAGAAGAAAAACUAUAAAAUUUGCGUAUGUGUGUAUACAUAAUAAAAUUUAAAUAUUUGUUACAAGAAAAUAAUCAUGAUUUUGGAUCUUUGGAGAAGGACAACUGCCAUAAGAAUGAAAUAAAUAAAUGUCAUGUAGAAAUUUUAACCAGCAGAAUAAAUUAAAAUCAUUCAAACAGCACAGAUGGAGAAAAAAAUUUGAAGUUUACAUGAAAAAUAAGUACCAAUAUACUGGUAGUUAUAUUUAUCUAGUAUUUAUAGUUGUCUAUAACACUGAGUUAAACAUACUAGUUAAAAAUGGAGACUAUAUAUAACAAUGCAUUUUUUAAAAAAGAGUAAAUAAUAUGUUGUGUGAGAAAAGAAAAAUAUUAAGAUGUAUCAAGCAAAUAUGAACCAAAAGAAAAAUGACAUAGUAAUCUUAUACCUACAAAUAUAAUUUACUGCCAAGAAGAUGUUACAUACGGAUAAAAGAAACACUUGGACAAGAAGAUA